GUAGGUGAACCUGCGGAAGGAUCAUUACAAGAAAUUAGUUAGUGGUUAACGGAAAGGUUAACAAACUUAAUUAAUGAAAAGUACACACCAGUGUUGUUGUUAAUAAAUUUAAAGGAGGAGAAGUGUGAAUACGGUUAGUGUUCCAUUAACCUCAAAAUAAUACAAAACUUAACCAAACCAGUUAACAAACAAACAAACAAACAUGUAUGCAAAUACAAACCAAAAUAUUAUACAACUGUUAGCAACGGAU
rnacentral:misc_RNA from 1 species